rnacentral:rRNA from 1 species
CCCUUAGAUGUCCUGGGCUGCACGCGCGCUACACUGAUGUGUCCAGUAAGCACCUAACCUCUUCCGAAAGGAACGGGUAACCUUUGCAAAGCACAUCGUGAUGGGGAUAGAUAUUGCAAUUAUUAGUCUUGAACGAGGAAUUCCUAGUAAGCACAAGUCAUCAGCUUGUGUUGAUUACGUCCCUGCCCUUUGUACACACCGCCCGUCGCUCCUACCGAUUGAAUGUUCCGGUGAGCUCUUCGGACUGCGCGGUCUGCAGUUUCUGCGUUCCGUGCGGAAAGUUGCGCAAACCUUAACAUUUAGAGGAAGGAGAAGUCGUAACA